rnacentral:rRNA from 1 species
UUUAUGGAGAGUUUGAUCCUGGCUCAGGAUGAACGCUGGCGGCGUGCCUAAUACAUGCAAGUCGAGCGAACAGACGAGGAGCUUGCUCCUCUGACGUUAGCGGCGGACGGGUGAGUAACACGUGGAUAACCUACCUAUAAGACUGGGAUAACUUCGGGAAACCGGAGCUAAUACCGGAUAAUAUAUUGAACCGCAUGGUUCAAUAGUGAAAGACGGUUUUGCUGUCACUUAUAGAUGGAUCCGCGCCGCAUUAGCUAGUUGGUAAGGUAACGGCUUACCAAGGCAACGAUGCGUAGCCGACCUGAGAGGGUGAUCGGCCACACUGGAAC